AUUGAACGCUGGCGGCAGGCCUAACACAUGCAAGUCGGACGGUAGCACAGAGGAGCUUGCUCCUCGGGUGACGAGUGGCGGACGGGUGAGUAAUGUCUGGGGAUCUGCCCGAUAGAGGGGGAUAACCACUGGAAACGGUGGCUAAUACCGCAUAACGUCGCAAGACCAAAGAGGGGGACCUUCGGGCCUCUCACUAUCGGAUGAACCCAGAUGGGAUUAGCUAGUAGGCGGGGUAACGGCCCACCUAGGCGACGAUCCCUAGCUGGUCUGAGAGGAUGACCAGCCACACUGGAACUGAGACACGGUCCAGACGCCUACGGGAGGCAGCAGUGGGGAAUAUUGCACAAUGGGCGCAAGCCUGAUGCAGCCAUGCCGCGUGUAUGAAGAAGGCCUUCGGGUUGUGAAGUACUUUCAGCGGGGAGGAAGGCGAUGUGGUUAAUAACCGCAUUGAUUGACGUUACCCGCAGAAGAAGCACCGGCUAACUCCGUGCCAGCCGCCGCUGUAA
rnacentral:rRNA from 1 species